GAAAAAAGAAGAAGAAACUAUGGUGUUCAAAUGGAUAGAAUUGAAGCUGAGAUAUUCAAAAAAUAAGUUUAUAUAAAAAAAAAAUAGAUACUAAAUAUGCAUUCUCCUUUUCCAAUCCGAUAUCAAAUUUCUCAGAACACCGACACACAGCCACAAUGAAAUGCAGACAGCUGCCGCUUAAUUAACCAACGAAGCUGGUGUAGAAAUAAAACCUUUGUAAUAGGAGCGGCAGUGUCCUGAUUGCAUCUAUUUUUGGGUUGUUUCAAGAUAAAAGAGCCUGCAAAAAGAGAGAGGGUUAAUUUGUACACUUCAAGUCAUGCUUGUGCCCUGAACAUGUAGAUCCUCCAUGCACAGUUUACAAGGGAGAAAUAAUGCUAUAAACAAGAACCACAUGCAUUAAAACCCACAUCAAAUGCUACUCUCUCCAAACCACUUGAAAUUCGAAAGCAAGUUCACUCUAAAUAAAAAAAUAUAUUGUAGCUCAACUGGUCAUGUUUUAGAUUUGCUCUCUAAAAGUUAUCAGUUCAAGUCUGAUAAAUCUCAGGGCCAUUGAAGACUUACAUGGUCGUUAACUUCAGGACCCGUGGGAUUAGUCGAGGUAAAUGCAAGCUGACCCAAACACCCACGUUAAUAAAAAAAACAAAAAAAAAAAAACAUCUUAUCAACAUCAUGAUGCCAGAUUUUCUUGAAUUAACACACCUGUAAUCAGCACAGAUGGAUGGCAUUCAAAAGCCCUCCUCCUCCAGAAGGGGACUAGGACCAGUCAAGCUUAUGAUGCCUUUUUAUGGCUCAUCUAACUGGUCCUGCUAGUAAAACCAUUAUCCAUAGUUAUUGAUCCAUCAGGUUUUGUAGUGAUACAGAGAAACCAUAGCCAAUUCUGGCAGAAGUAUUGUUGACUUACAAGAAUUAGAGAGAGGCACCAACCUGGACAUCUGAAGUCCAAAGUGCUGUCCUUGCACGAUUCUUCUCCCAAAGUGCAGAUCUAGCUUGGCAAUGGCUUUCUCAAAUGCCUGCACAAAAACAUAGCAAGGAAAACUGAAAGGAUCUUGUAACAUAUAUUCGUGAAUGCUAUGACUAUAUAACCUUAAGCAACUCUGGUUGGCAUAUAAAAAAAAAGUAGGACCUUGGUCAUUUCUAAAAGACAACGGAAGAGAAAUGGUAAACAGCUGAAACCAAACAUUGAGACAGGCAUUGAUGGUGAAGAAAUGCUAGGAACACUUCAGUAACUAAUUUGAGUUUCAGUUAAGCAUUGUGUCUGUGUACACGAGCAAGGACAAAUAGUGCAGCAAACCACAUCAUUAAGCCUGGGCAAUUUAAACUACUUCGAAAGGUUUACUAUAGUCUUAAACCUUUUAAGUUUAUCCAUGCAUCAAUGAACACUCUGAUAUAGUCUACUAGAUUUUGAGGAGCAUUUGCCCAUUCAGAACUUCCAGUUCAGUUUUUUAUGCACGGUAACAAAUGCUGAGAUGAGAAACAAACAUCAUGAAGACAUUCCUUACAAUAACUUAUUCUACUAUCAACUAUAUCUUGAUUUGGCUUUAAAGGACAGCCAAUCAAUAGCUAAAUCUGUUAGAUCAACAUAUAAACAACCAGUGACGGAUAAUAGGUUUGCCUUGGUCAAGUAAACUGAAGGGUGAAUAUAUUUGGAUGUGAAAGAGGGCACCUAGCAUUGCAUUCCAGGCACGAAUAAAUCUGCAAAGAAAAUUCAUGCCAGACCUCUGAUUGUAGCAACAUACCCUGCAAAUAUCAAGGUCAUCCAUUUUAAAAGGGCCAAUGGGGAGAAACACAAUUCAACGAUUAUUAAUUAGGGUCAUUUCUUGGUCUAAUGGUAAAAGCAUUGACCUGUCAGGUUUCAGCACAAUUUCCAUAUCUCUGUAAACAGAUAAAAUCUGCCAACAUGAAUUCUAUUGAAAGAACAAAACAAAGAUGGGUGAGGAAAACUCUUACCAUGAACUGCCCUUAUAGAUUACAUUUAAUGGGAACCUGUAAACGAAACAAAAGGCAAAUAUAUCAAAGAGAAGACAAAAACUUUAUUGUCUUUGGAUCUUU
rnacentral:lncRNA from 1 species